AUGCUUGCUUUGGCAGCAUAUAUACUAAAAUUGGAACGAUACAGAGAAUAUUAGCAUGGCCCCUGCUCAAGGAUGACACAAAUUCGUGAAGCAUUCCAUAUUAAA